AUGCAAUCAAGACAAAUCACAGAGAUCACGCAGGAAUCUCUUUCUGGGAUACACAAUAUUAAAUUCAGAAAGUCACAAAAACUGGUAGACACAAUGGUCAAAGAUGAUAUGAAGAACGUUCAUCAGCUGACAUCCUCAGAGGUCAUGGAUUUGGGAGCUCAUGAGAGGAAUAAGAGGAAUCAUCCUUGGAGAGGUCAUGCUUCUCCUUCCAGAUCCAGCCCUCCCCGCUACCACUCAAAACCAACUUCAAGACAAGGCUUCAGAAUCUGCCCCAGGAGAGAAGCUGGAGCCUCUCUUCACAUUUCAAGUAGCUUCCACAUGAACAGGACUUUCACAAAAUACUGGAAAGAAAAAGUGUUGCUCAUUGUACACGAUGAAAAACAACCACCAAAGUUUCAAAGAGCCACAUUUUACAGCAUCGAAACUCUUGGUUUCCAGUUUGGUGCCACUGUGUCGUGUGUCUCCUGGAGUUUGUGGCAGAUGGGUGGACAGGUGUUUUUUCUGCUUUGCUACAUCACGUACCUCUCCUCCUAGGAGUCCCAUCUUCCGUGUCUUGGUGCAUUUUGUCAUAGCCUCUCUAGUUCUCAUCAGUCCUAACCGUUCUUAUUUUUUAAAUUCUUUAAGCAGCUUAUUAAAAUAUAGUUC
rnacentral:lncRNA from 1 species